rnacentral:rRNA from 1 species
CGUCCCCGGGCCUUGUACACACCGCCCGUCACACCACGAAAGCCCGUUGUACCUGAAGUCGCCGGAGCCAACCCGCAAGGGAGGUAGGCGCCCACGGUAUGGCUGGUGCG